rnacentral:rRNA from 1 species
GAUGAACGCUGGCGGCGUGCCUAACACAUGCAAGUCGAACGGUGAGACGACUACCUUUUUCGUGUGAGGGUAUGGGUGGACGAGGGGUGAGUAAGUCGAGAGUCAACUUCUACCUCCUGGUGGAUAACGGCAUGAAAGUGCGGCUAAUACGUGAUAUAUUGGGUCGGUUGGAUCAUUGGUGUGGGAAAGAUUUUGUGUCGGUGGGAGAUGGGUUCGCGGCGGAUCAGCUAGUUGGUAAGGUGACGGCCUACCAAGGCGACGAUGCGUAGCCGCCCUGAGAGGGUGGUCGGCCGCACUGGAAGUGAGACACGGUCCAGACUCCUACGGGGGGCAGCAGUAGGGAAUCUUACGCAAUGGGCGAAAGCCUGACGGAGCAACGACGCGUGAGUGGUGAAGGUCUUCGGCUCGUAAAAAUCUGUUAUUAGGGAAGAACAAGUGUGUAAGUAACUAUGCACGUCUUGACGGUACCUAAACAGAAAGCCACGGCUAACUACGUG